ensembl:lncRNA
AUGUCCAUGAACGGAAAAAUAAAGAAAAUAUCGAGAAGAAAGUAUCAAGUACCUGUGGAAAGCACACCUGCUCUCAAAAAGGAUGGAGGACUAGGCCUCGCGCUUGCGCAUCAGGUGCCCCUGACCAGGAGCGAGAUCUCGCGGGAUCUCAGGCAAGUGUCGAGUUACCCACAAGGCUGUGCCUCGGGACCGGAAGCACCGCUGGGACCUGGAGUUUUGAGACCCGGCGCCAGGCCCUGCCCUGACCGCGUGAGGUGGGCGAGGUGUGAUGGCCGGGAUGGUGUGAAGAGACGGUCAGAAGUCCGAGGAAAAGAGGUCCGCUCUGUCAUGGAGUUCGUGGGGGCGCUGAGGGUGCAUUUUGCAAUUAGUUCUGCCCCAAAACUGCCUGCAGCCCGGCCCCUCCCUCGCCGUGCAGCGCGGCCCCCUGUCAUCUUAGGGUUUUGCCGCCGUCUCUCCUUCUGCUGGCCUCGCGUAUCUCCGCGCCGCCUGGCUCACUCGGGAUGUCUGCCGAAAAGCCGGCGCAGCAGGCUGGUCUCCAAGGAUGUGCAAGAGCAGCUGUGGACUAUAACUGAGAGGAGUUAUCUUUGCAUUUUUCAUUGUUGCUUGGGCCUCCUGAAACUACCGGCAGGCAACAGCUGUGCUAUGCUGAACAGUGUUCUUCUCAGGCAGAAGCCACAUGGAAAACCACCAGGAAGAUAG